rnacentral:lncRNA from 1 species
CUCAUAUGCUCUUUGUAAUAUAUCAAUCUCUGCAUCAACUUCGAAUUCAUCAUCCUAAUCGCUACAUCUUCUUCUUCAAUCCCCAAUUACCAGAAUUACUGAGUAGAUCAAUCGCUAUUUGUAAUUGAAACCCUAACUAUCAAAAAGUGAUUCUGAUUCCAUCAAUCUUGCCUAAAAUCUUAUGUGUUCUUCGAUCUAAACAGAUUGGAUUUAAAGUUGUGAGGGAUGCUACGCCGGUGAGAUGAAUUGCCAUGAAAUAUUACUUCAAACUAACUAACUGAGAUGUGUAAUUGUUAUAUUUUAUAAAUAAUUUCAAACCUAAAAUAGAAGUCAAAUUUGUGGACAAGGUGAAGCAUUUAUGGUGCUUCCACCAUCUCAGAUGGCGGCAUCGGGUGGUGCUUGGGCAGUCUAUUAACAUGGCUUGACACGAUUGCUUUUAUAGGUAGACAUGGAGGACACAUUCAAUCACUAUCUGAGAUAACGAUGAAGAUGUAUAUGAGGAACCAAUAGUGGACAUUGAUGAUGUUGACAAGAAUUAUCACCUUGCAGUGGUGGAAGAGAUGUUUCUCAUCCUGUAAACAUUAAUCAACCAACCUCCAUGCAGUCUGAAUAAUCUCACUAAACCAGUAGGUGUGGGGUAUGAAAUUUAACAUAAAUCGGUCGCCACAGGUUUGUGGCAUUGUUAACUUAAUUUUUCACUGUUCGUUAGGUGAUGCAAGUGAUUUGUGGAUUGUUAAUAUAGGUCAAGGUUAUUACAGCAGUUCAUUCAGACAUAAGAUCAUUCAAACAAAUUCCUUGGAAGCAAUUGUCAACUGGAAAUUGGAAGAAUAUAUGCAAAAGUGAAUCGAUUCUUUCAUGUAUGAACAUUGAUACUCUCCGAAGUAUGGUAUGCACAACCGGUAACAGAGAGGCUGCCCAAUUCUAGCUUGACAAUUGGACGAAUAUAGGUCCUCUGUUUCUGUCAUUUCUAAAGACCUGCAAAGUUGCAGAUAUGCUAUUAUUAAACCGCAAUUCAAAGGAAUGGCGGUAGAAUUUACACAAUGUUUGGAAGUCAUUAACUCAACCACCUUUAUGACUGAAAAAGACAAAUGGUGCUGGUCAAGGGAUGCGUCUGGGACGUUCUUGACACUGGGUCUGGGAAGAGAGAUGGCGAGAAGCUCGGGUACGCAUGAAGAAUAUAAGCAUGUAUGGUUGAAUUGGGCAUCAAUAAAGAUAAAUUUCUUUGUCUAACGGGUGGCGAAUGACAUGAUCCCGACAAGGUUAGUAAUAAGGUUUGUAAGAAACUUAGAAUUUAACAUUUAUUCAAAGGAAAACCAAAUAACUUUGCCAUAGAUUCGAAUGUAUUGAUGGAAGGAUGACCAAGCCAAUCGUGAAAAUUAGAGGUUGUGACCAUGUUGACUUGGGAAACGGAUGGAGCCGGUGCGUAAUACACAUCAUUGUCGUUCACCCCCCGAAGAAGAGGCGCCCCUGUGAUUAUGAAAUGAACAAAAAAAAUAAGAAGGAACAAAUUCACAGAAACUUAGUUAGUUUUGCAUAGUUUAGCAACCGAAACUAGAUCGCCCCCAUCUCUUCUUCUGUAGCGAAUGUUGUUCCACCGCUGUGCUAUUGCAAACCACCUCCGUCAAUGACCACAUAAAGGAACUCACUCACACAGUUAACUCUACAGUCAAAGGGUGAGUUGAGGAAGCUGCUUAAAGUGGAGAAUCCUUAUAAUAAGUCUACUGCUGUUGUUUGGAAACCUGGUGGGGUGAAAUUGAAAGCCAUGUCUGCUUCUGUAAGUAUUGCUUGCUAAUAUAGUUUUGAUUUUAUUCAAAUAUGUCAUUUGUAGUAUACUCUUAUGUUGUCGAAAACUCUUUAGUAAUAUUUUUUGGGUAUGGUUUUGUAUCAGACGACUAUGAUGAUGAUUAGUAGGUACAAGCAUGAUAGUUUUGAGUCAAACCCGGUACAUAUGGACAACCUCAAAUCGAUUAGGGUUUUGAGAGAUGUACUUCGAAUGAAGGGUCACUGUAUGCUCUGAUCUAAUCGUUACUUCAUUUUGUUUCCUUCGUUGACUUUUUUUACCGACCUAAAAUUGAUUAUAUCAUCCUUUAUUAUUUUAAAAAGUCACAAAAUAAUGUUUAUACAGUAAACCAUCGUGUUUUUUUUUCCAGUGACUUUUGAAAAUAGUUAACAUAUAAUGAAAGUUAAUAGAACUACUGACGAUGAUAGUCCAGUAUGUUUCUUCAAAUAAUGCUUAUUUGUGUAUUUUCAGUUUUUGUUUAGUAUAUGCAUUGUAUAUUUUUGGGGUGUAGUAUGUAUACACUUAGGUGUUCGAUAUUUUGAUUUGGAGACAAUUGGGCCUUGAACUUUCUCUUAAACCGUCAUCUUCUUAUAUGGCUCAUGUCCCUACUUCGAUGGUAUAUAUUCAUCUCCGUAUUUAGUAUGACGACCUUGUAAUAUAUAGUCAUAUUUUGUAGUAAAUAAAUGAUGUAAAAUGUAACUGUUUUGUUUUCAUGUGGUCAUUGGAACAUUUGUGUCCGCUUGAAGUGUGGCAUACCAUUCUCUAAAAUAGAAGAAAUAAUAGGACUCUCCACAUAAAUAUAUGAUAUAUGCAUGUAAAUAUGACAUAUGAGGAGACUGUGGAAGUUAUGUGGAGGCUAUGAAAGUGGUACCUUGGAGGAGCUCCUAAGUCCUAUAUGUUGAUAUGCAACGAGAGUAUUAGAAUUUAUAUGCAAAAGCCAUAUUGUUUAAACGAUGCUUAAUCAUCUUACAUCAAAUUAAGGUGAUUGAGCUUGAUUGAAAGUGGCACUGGUGAGGACAGAGAGAUGACAGAGAGAUGCUGGUCUCUUAGAAAAUUCAAUGAAUGCGAGUUAUUUCUCUCGGUGAUUACACCCAUGAUCGGAGGUAUACCAGAACCAGCGGAUCUGGCGGUGACGGCGUCUAGGGUUCCGCCGCAAGCGGCAGAGGCUGCUGCCAUGUGGUUAGAAAAGAAUCGUCGUCGUAGCUGUGACGGCAACAUAUGAACGGGGGAUGCAGGCUCUGAGCUUUGCCAAUGUUCAUCUUUCACAAACAACAAGAAAAUUUGCACCGGAUAAGUUUUCUGCAAGAGUUUUACCUCAGUUGAUUAUUUCGUCACAAUCGUUAUUCUUCAUCAGUGGAUCAGAUGUCAAUCAGCAGAUGUGGUGUUAUUAUCUUAUACUAAGUGUUUGGGAUUAUCAGUUGUUUUACAUCAAUAGUUGGAAUUCAUAUUGGUUUAUGGACCAUGUUUACAUCAAAUUAAGGUGAUUGAGCUUGAUUGAAAGUGGCACUGGUGAGGACAGAGAGACGCUGGUCUCUUGGAACAUUCAACGGAUGUGAGUUAGACUCACGGUGAUUACACCCAUGAUCGGAGGUAUACUGGAACCAGCGGAUCUGGUGGUGACGGCGUCUAGGGUUCCGUCGCAAGUGGCAGAGACUGCUGCCAUGUGGUUAGAAAAGAAUCGUCACUAUAGCUGUGAUGGUGGCAUAUGAACGGGGAUGUAGGUAUUGUCUUGAUUAACAUAUACAUUCGCAACAAGAAGGUAAACUCGCAAAGCCACUUCAGCUGUGUAACUCACGUUGGGGAAUGAUGUGUCCUGCAGAAAUACUUGAAGAACACAUAGCAUUCAUUACUUAACACUCAUUGGUUUAGCUUAAUACUUUUAUUUUCAAAUUAUAAUAUUUAGCUCUUAAAAGAUAUAUAAAACCAUGUGGACUUUCGAACAAUGUUGGCAUUAAUGGCAUGUAUAACACUUCAUCUUCAAAUCCCAUUUAUGAGUUCAUGGAUGGAUGGAGCUUGGAAGUUCGUAACCCAACCCUAUUGUUUUCCAGGUCUAAUGCAUACAUAAUGAUGUCUUAAUAGAUAUUUUUGAAAAAAAAAAACAAUAAUAGACAGCAGGCUCAAUUUAUUACACAUUAGAUGAAGGCAGGUAAAAUUUUUGAUCCUGUAGUCGCAAAACCCCAAAAAAGUUAGUAAUUAUGAAUCCUUAUAUUUUUAGCUGGUGGGUAAUAGGUUGUUGGUUGAGGUUUGUUUAUAAUAUUCGGUUGGUUUCGAUGUUGGGUCGGAAGCUUCUUCUGUUCGGCACGUUUCGUUUAAUUCUGUUUGGUUUGGGGGUUCUUCUAUUAUUUUGCAAGCUUCUGUUAUCUGUCUUCAUGGUCCAUGGCAACAAGUGGGAGAGAUUUUGGUGUUAUGGGCAUUUAGACAAGUGGGCCUAAUUUAUUUUCAUGGCAUAUUUUGGUCCCUAAUAUAUUCAUGUUGAUAGCCUAUGGUAAUUUUAUUAAGUGGAUGGUCAACCGUGUUUUGCGUUUGCUAAAUGGGACCAAAGAGAUUAAUUAUUUUGGAGGCCCUUUAUUUGGUAUUUUGGUUAGCCCUUCAGGGCAGUAAUUGCUUCUGUCGUUUGGGUCUCUAUAUCCCAAAGUUCGGUCUCUAAAUGGGUUUGGUUAAUGGUCUACAAAAUUAAAUAAUAUAAUGUAUUUUAAACAUGUUAAACCCCAUUUAUAUUAGUAAUGUAGAUGUGCUCUAUUGUAACAACAAAUGUCGCGUAUAAAGAAGUCUUUAACAAGUUGUGAUUUUUUUUGUAUUCAUUUAUUUCAUUUAUUAAGUGUAAGUUACAUUUACGUUAGUACCGGAACGUUUCUUUCAUUAAAAGAUUAUGUCAACGGUGAUAAUGAAGAAAAUUUCUUUUACCAACCCACGAAGUUCGCGGGUUCUUAAACUAAAUCUAUACUAGGCGAUUCUCAAUAUAUAUGGCUUAUACUGUUCACGAACUUUCUCUUAAACAAUCAUAUUCUUAUAUGGUUUAUGUUCCUAUUUCGAUGGUAUAUAUUCAUCUCUCUAUUUAGUAUGACGAUGCUGUAAUAUAUAUAGAUAUAGUCAUAUUUUGUAGCAAAUAAAUGAUGUAAAAUGUAAUUGUUUUGUUUUCAGGUGGUCAUUGGGAAACAGAGCUGGUCAUUGGAAAACAUAGCUGUAAAGCCUCAAAACAUCAUUUGAAGCCUCGCGAUUUCAUUUGAAGCUUAUUGAACCUUAAAAUUAAAUUUAAGAAGUCAUUUGGGAAGUUUCAUACAAUUUAAAGACAUUUCGGACGACAUUUGUCCCAUUCAACCUAUUUCUUUUUUAGCUAAUAUUUUGUUUUACUAAUUUGACAUGUUAUAUAUCGACUCAUUUAUUUAUAAAGGGUCAAAUUUUUUACAUGUUAUGGAAGAUGCAAAAUAAAAAAAAAAAUGGUAGCAUGGAGAUCACUUGAGAUAUUAUAUAAACAUUUGUGAUUAAUAAAAUUUAAAUAUUCAACCCGUGAGUAUUCACGGGUGAUAACCUAGUUGUUCUAUAUAUUUUAUUUUUUAGCUAUCACCGGAAGCUUUUAAUAUUUGAACCAACCACUUCAAGCACAUUUAUUGUUGAUUCAAUAAAAAAGGGAAAGUUGGAGGAAAGUUACCUCAUUUCAGAGCUAAUUCCUGGUGGUUUCGAGAGAAAUUUUACAUGGACAGUUAUCAAUCGCUACCAACAACCGGGCUCCUGGGAAUGCGGUUAUAUGUUGAUAAAACAUAUGUGGGAGUUUGUUGAAACAAUUCAACAUGACUUAUUAAUCGUAAAUGGAAUACACAAGAGAAGACUUCGGGUGAAGAAAUUGAAUCUAUGGUCGUAGACUUGAUGGAGCGUUGGAUUAAGGAGGUGUUUGGGGUUCUGACAUGAACUCCGUAAAGGUGUCUCAAGGAACUGAGUGAGAUUGUUUUUGCACAUGAAAUGCAGAUAACUGUCAAAAGCCAUCAGUGAGGUUGCAAGCAUGGAUUGAAGACAUUGGUUUGGGUUAAAAAUAUGAAGACAUCGGUCGGUUCAGGAACUUAUUGUAUGUCAAUUUCAUCUUUAGAGUUAUAUGUAUUGUUGUGUUAAUGGAAAACUUUUGUAAUAUUGUGUUACUGUGAAACCUUUAUAUUUUAUAUUCUUAGGUU